AAGGUAGCCCCGGAAGUACAAAGCUCAUGCUCCUGUCAUCUGGUAACAGGGGAAGUCCUUCUGACGUGAACUGGAACAACACCAUCAGCUCUCCCGGAUCUCCAGCUUGCAGACAGCUGAUCAUGGGACUUUUCAGUUUCUGUAAUUGAGGUGGUUGAGAACCAUUGACGUCGACUGACUUAGCAGAUCUUCAAACGUGAAUAGGGAAUCCUGCCAUUCCACUGAUGAGAACAGCAUGCUUAGGAUACUGCUUCUGAGAACAGGACCAAGACAAGUGGCAAGCCAUAUGAUGACUGACCAGAAACGUUAGAAAGAAUGGAAGAUGCUUUCCUGAAGCUUUGCUACUCUGGAGGUGGAAUGAAUUGUGCCAAAUGUCAACUUUUAUGGCUCAAUGAUCCCUUUCCUGAGCCUGUCAACAGUGAACUAAAGAAAUACAAUCUCUGUUUCUCCAGUCAACGGUAGAACACUGCUCGCGCUCCUGAUAUUUAUGGAUAUAUUUAUACAAUUCUCACAAACCUGACACCAAUGGCCUGGGAUCAAUGUAGACAAGUGGCAAAGAAAAACAGAAUGAGUCUCUGAAAGGAUGCAUAUUAAAAAAAAAAUAAAAGAUUUGUGUUCUGAAUGGCUUGUUUUGAGAAAAACAUAUGCUUCAACUGAGAUCUACAUGAUGUAGCAAAUAAAAACAGGUAUGAAAAUCCCUUGAAUUAAAUUUCACUGGAUUAACACAUCUGAUCAAUUCUCGUUAAUCACAACAGUUAUAUCAAGGCACUUUGAAUGCUGGAAUCACAGGUACUAAGUCAUUGUUCCUUUGAGCCACUGCUCCUAGGGGAAACAUAGGCUUAGGUUUCUGUGAGCCUCUGGUCAUGACAUUUUUGUCAACUGAUCAAUACAUAACUUUGUUUUAUGUGUGUUUCUGUUUAAAGAUAACUUAUUUAAUAAAUAGCAUUGAUUCAUUAAUAUUGAUCUCAUAGCCAACAGGACUGUACCUCAUGUUUGAUGAAGCUUAUCUAACACAUAUUUUCUCUAUAAGGCACAUGUCAGCCUUCUUGUGCUUAAAAACACUAGACAGCACUUCAGGACUAUAGUUGGGGGCCAUUUUAAACAGCAAAAUCGAAGGACAAAAGUGCAAAAAAUGUGGCAAUCAAUAGACCACGAUGAAAGAUGCUUGUUUACAAUAAGAGCUGAAACAAAGUGGCAGAACAUCACCUGGUUCCACCUCAGCUAGGAGUGUGUAUGUUGGAUGACUCCAAUUUCUUACUGCUCUACACAUGUCCAUAAAUAAAUGUGUAAACACAGUGAAUGUUGAUUCUGGGUUACAAAUAAAGUUUAGAAAGAGGCAAAUUCACAAGUAUGGAAUUUGUGAAUAAUGAGGGUCAACUAUAGAUAUGAAUCCCAAGCUUAUAAUUUGCAAUUCCUUUCACAUAUGCUGGAGUGAAUAGGAAACUAGAGCAUUUAGUUGACAUAAUUGGGACUCAUACCAGGAUCCUCUAUGAAGGCCACAAUUAGCUCUUUGAGCUGGUGGAAUCACUGAUUGGAUUGGUGAAGGGAUUAGGAUUAAGCAGCUCAAAGGCAAGGCCACUGUGUAAUACGUAACUCCUUGUUUAGUUGGGAAAAUACUAGAAGUUGGCUAACCUAGCUGAAAGAAACCAGAAUAUCUCAACUCCUUUGGCAUAUUUUGAGAUGCCUGUUCUGAGGGACUGCAGAUCACAAAAAUAGCCUUGAAAAGCUGCCCUUUUGUUGGGGAGAUUUGCAUCUGGAGAGGAAAUCCACAUUAGCAAAAUGAAGUAAACAACAGAUGCAAACAGACUUACUUUCUCUAAGGACCUCUUAUCUGGAUCUAGGAAAGAUUAACUCACAGGAAAAGGAGGCUGAAGUCUGACAAUAUAAGGUUCUGACAGAGAAACUUUUACCACAAGUUCCUGUGUGUUCCUUCUGAGAGCUGCUACCUGAGAGGUUUCAUCUGCCUAACAGGACCCCUUCACUCCCAGGCCUUUCCUCCUCUCUCUCUCCUAUAACCCCCUCUUGACAUGUUCAAAGUCCAUAUUCUUCCUGUCCCCCCAGGAUAGUAUAAAAACUUCAGUCAUCUAAGACCCUGAGUCUCAUUCUUCGUGUAUAACUCCCAUGUCCAUACAUGUGUUAAUAAAUGUGUAUACCUUUUUUCCUGUU